rnacentral:lncRNA from 1 species
AGUACGGGCGUGGGGGCCUGGAAGGCUCCAGUAGCUUCCUUACUGAGGGGCUUAUCCGGUUGCAGCAAGGCACCUGUUUGUCAGCGACUCCGGUUCCCAGCUCCGAGCAGAAGCUGCUGUGCAACUGUAGGGUGGUUGUGGAGGCAGGAGGAUGACAGAGGAGGGAGUCCAGAGGCCGCAGCGUGCUUUGGGGGCUUCUUCCCUGGACCCUGCCCUCACCUCCACGGUCUGCAUCUGCUCCAGCCCCUAUAGGUCCUAGGCCCAAUUCUGCACUCCAUGGGGCUGAGGAGACAGGCAGACAGCUUCAGCCUUUGGUCUCAGCUUCCUGAAGUCUUUUCCCUGGAAGGGGGCUUGAGGGAGAUUCUUUGCCUGGACUUCCUUCCUCUUGAGACAGGGAGGAGAGUGUGGUCAUGUUGAAGGCAGAGCCAGGGGCCUGGGUGGCCCUGGGCAUGGGGAGGUGUGUGGAAGGCUCUUCCCUGGCCGCUGCUUAUGUCGUGGAGCAGUGGGGUGGGGGAGCAGAUGUAACCCAGAGCAAGGAGCUUUGUGUGGUGUGUGUUGUGGGGCGUGGAUGGCAGGGUUCCCAGCAGCUGGGGGGCCUCAGAAGCACUGCUCCAGGAAGUGGGGCUGAGGACUCCCAGCUAUGGGGGCUCUCUCUGGGUGUCUCGCUCUGUCUCUCCAAGGACAGGAGCCAUCUGGAGGGAAGGGCCUGGAUGACCCGAGGACAAGGUAACUACAGACCAAGGCCACCUGGGAAGAGCCACAGAGGCUGGAGAGGCCUUCACUGUUCCUUCCCUCUGUUCAGCUUUGCACCUAGGAGCCCCUGGAGGUUUCUGUGGGUGGAAAUAUUCCUGAGCCCUGCAUCAUCUGCUGACCAGAGAGCCCACUCUCCUGCUGCCCCUCUGGGGAACUCAUGCCACCCUCAGCUCAUUCUUGAUGCAGAUGACAGACUGGGAGAUACCUGGCUCGUGGUGAGACCUCAACCUGGGAUCCUUGCACCCAGCCGCUGCCUCUGAACUGCUCUGCUGGACUGCAGGAAGUCCUCGGUGUGGGCCUGCACACUCCCAGCCCGCUUGGGGCCUGCUGCAUGUCCUGGGCACUGAAGUGGCCACACGUCCUGGAUGCUUGGCGCAGCAGGUGCUGGCUGUGCCCUCUGCCUUCUGGCCUCUGAGGACAUGAGUGCACACCUGUCCUGUCUGGUGUGAGGCAGCAGUGGUCUGACAGUGACCCGCCCCUGCUCCGAGUCAGUGCCUCCCAUUUGCAGACCUGUGGCGCCCCUGCCAUCCAGAAAUGCUGCAUCACUUUCGGUGGCCUCUCAUUAAAUAUGCUGGUGAUGCAAAUUUCUGGUCUACCCUCUAUGUCUCCAGCUCUUGACUCUAGGAGUUAGUGGUUUGUUCCCUGGCUCCCCUCCAGUUUGACCUGCUUCUAGCAUAUAUAGCAACCUCAGCCCCUGUCCCCUGGCCUCUUCUCAGUGGUGGCCUUUCCCCUUGCACCCUCAGAUCCACAUCUUCCAAGGGUGGGUGUGAGGUGGGGGGGGGGGGGCGGGGGGCAGAAAGCCACUCUCGUCAGCACUCGGCUGCCCCCGUGUGGCCAAUGUGGGCAAAAGCGCCACUUCAUUCAACCACUCACUGCUGGGGUCUCAUCAGAGUCCAACCUGAGCCCUGGCUUUUGAGAGUGGAUUCGUGAACAUGUGCAUGGAAUUCUAGAUUGCAAAACCUUCCUAAACCUCAGUCUCUUCGUUUAUAAAGUGGCGAUGACAAUAUCACUGGUUUGUCAUUGACCAAAUAGGUAACAUGCUUGUUCAUUGAAAAAAGUCUUUCUGCACAGUGAUCAUCCUGUAGCAUCAUUAUUUUCCCUAAAUCUGACCAUCCCCAGAGAAGAAAGAAGAGAAGAGAAGAAGGAGGAGAGGAGGAGAAGAGGGAGAAGAGGAGAGAAGUAUAGAACUCACCAGAAGUAUAGAACCAGGAGAGAGGCAUAGAACCCACUCUCUGUUCCUGGAAACACUUCAUCAUAUUCUUUUUCAUGAGUGUUUACUGAGUGAUCACUCUGUGCCAGGCAUGCUCUGGGGCGUGGGGAUGAGGAGAUAAACAAGACAGAGCCCCUGCCCCUGCAGAGCUCACAGUCUAGUAAAGAGCGGGCUCACAAAACUGAAGUUAAAAUAGACAAUAAAAAGAGCCCAGAGCAAAAGAGCAGACAGCAGAGAGUGAGAGCUCCACUGGGGUUAGCAAAGUGCAACUCACAGAGGAGGUGGCAUCACCACUGGGCAUUCACCUGGCAAGAAGGGGGCAAGAGCAUUUCAGGCAGAGAUUUGGAGGGGUGAAGCAGCGAGCUUCAGAAACAGGUGGGCUGGGGCAGGGCAGGCAAGGGAGGUGUGACCAGGGCAGUGGGUAGGGGGGCCUGGGCAGGAGUUGGAGCUUACACCAGGAACAGCGAAGCAUCUGGAGGGUUUCAAGCCAGAAGUGACAUGGUAAGAUCUGGAUCUGAAAGAACUGGGGGGUAAGUUUGUGGUGGGGGUAGCAGGCUGGAAGCAGAGAAGAGGCAAGGAGGCUGUUGUCAAAACCCAGCAAAAAUGAUAGUCGCCAGGACUGGGGGUAAGAAGAGGGCCAGAGCUGGGACACUGGCUUUGGUCACUGAUCAGAUGUGAGGGAUGAGGGAGAGGGAGGAGGGGAGGAUGAUGCUCUGGUUUCCGGUCUGAAUACUGCGUGUGUGGUGGUGCCACCCACUGAGAGGAUGUGUUAUCAGUUAGGACUUUUUUGGUCUGAAUUUAUAGAAAACGCAAACUAUAUUUGGCUCAGGCAGAAGGGAACGUAUUGGCCCAUGUAACUGAAAAGUCUAGGGGUGGCUCUGGCCUCAGGCCCAGCAUGAUUCAGGGCCCCAUGGUGGGAGCAGGCCUCAGUUUCCCCUCCUCCUGUAGCUCUGCUUGCCUGCGUUGACUUCUGGCAGUAGAGCCUGGUGGUCGAGAGCAAGGACUCUGUAAUCACACGGCCUGGAUUUGAAUUCAGGCACCGUAGUGAUUAGCUGAGUGGCCUGACAAGGCCCUUAACCUCUCUGUGGCUCAAUUCCCUCCUCCUUAGGGUUGGAAAAAUAGGGCCCAGCUCAUGCCACGUUUUGUCAGGACAAAGUAGGAUCCACACAUGUAGGGAGCUUGGCAAACACCAGACGCCAAGAAAAUGCAUGUGAGUGUUGGCGGUGUGCGUUCCCCGCCUCCACAUGAGGCAGACGUUGGCUUUACGGCCUCUCGGGUUCAAACCUAUCAGGAAAGAGGGAGGGCUUCUCCUACGUCACUUGGACCAAACCCUGGAGUUUGCUGCCAUUGAACCUGGUUGACUCUGUGCUAACCCUGAAACAGUCCUAUGCUGAGAAUAUGGAAUGUUCUAGACUUUGGUCACAUGCUGUACUUGGAUUAGGGUAGAGGUGGAGGGAACACCACAGACCACAGGGUCCAAAGUAGGGGGCUGUCUGUUCACCAGAGCUGGGCCUGGUCAGUCUGGGGUGAACAGAUGCUGGGUGGCCACAAGCUAACCCAUGUCUGCUGCUGAUGGGGCAUGGGCAGAGGGGCAGCCGAUGAGCUCAGCUGUGGCACCUUGAGUUGGAGGGGAGCCAUCAGAUGGACAAUGAGUGUGUAGGACUGGGGUUCAGCAGAGAGAGUUCUGAGCCCUGAUGCUGCUGGAGGUGGAAAGUGAAGCUGCAGGAAUGCAUCAGAAUGAGGUGAGGAGGCAGGAGAUGGGGGCCGCAGCCCUAGCAGGGGCAGGGAUAGGAGCACUCAGGGAGGUGGGGGGAGGCCGUGGAGUGGGCUCUCUUGGCAGCUGAGGAAGAGACGAUUUUGGAAACUGAGGGAUUGGCCAGGGGCCUCCGUGCCCCGAGCAGUUCUGGGCUGCUGGGAGGGGACCUCCAGCCUGGAGCCUUGGAGGGGAGAAGUGGGGGAGACUUCUGCCCAGCUGAACUGCUCCCACCCCUACGCCUCAGCCUCCAAACAAAGCUCCAUACAGAAGAAGAUGGUGCUGCGGUUGCCUGUGGCCUGCCAGCCCACUGCAAGGAGAGGAACAGACUUGCGAGGACACACUCCUUCAUGCUGUGUGAAUGCUUUCCCAGGCACCUGUCUUAUCUAGGCAUAAUCAGACGAUACAAAAUCAAACAAACAUGCAAAAAGGAUCCUCAUCCUGCUCCACAGCUGCCAGGCUGCCCUCCCAGUCACAUCUGACUUCCGAAAGGCUUCUGUGAAUCCUGCCAGGAGGCCAAGGCUGCAGCCGCAUGCCCAUAACCACGCCCACGCCCACGCCCACACCUACACCCACGGCUCCUCUGGAUAUCCACUUGCCCCAGCUCAGAGUUGAGGCCUCUCAAGAUCCCUUCUUGACAGGCUGUGCUUUAUGGCCAUGCCUUCGACCCUUUCAAACUGCUCACUCUGACAUUGUCACUCUGGUCCCUUGACCUCCUUUACCUCUGCUUCCUCCCUGACCCUCAGCCCCUUCCUGCCCCGCUGCCCCACUUCCAGUGUGGAUUGCAUGUGCAUUACCUCAGUCACUGUCUUGCCAUGUGCUAACCUCACUCCAUCCACAGAACCAUCCUGGUGAAACCUGAAUCCUGGAUGACUGCAACUCUCUGUUCUUUGAACUUUUACCCAAGCUGCUGCUGCCCCCAAAGAACAUCACACCCCUGAGCCGACUGAUGGCAUGAGAAUGGUCACUGGGUCACACUGCCUGGCCUUCGCCAUAGCCAGCUCUCUCUCCUGGUGCAUUGUUGCAAACCUUCCUGCUCUUUCAAACCUGACCUGCCGCCUCCCAACUCCGCUCAGGUGGCC